rnacentral:lncRNA from 1 species
UAUAUAUGUAAUGUACCGAAUUCUUAAUAUAAAAGUAAAUAUAAAUAAAAAUAGUAUGAGAUACUAUUUUUAUUGAACUUAAAGAGGUAAAAUAUAAGUCAAAAACGACUUGUGCUGAAAUUGGAAUAGAAAUAGAAGAUUUAGAAUUUUCUGUAAGAAAUGGGGCUGAUAUUUUAGUAGAAAAUUCACAGUGUCAGAAAAUUAUGAAAACUUGAGAAUAUAUCGGAAUUAUUUUUAUGAAGUUAGAUUUAAAGUUUCAUGUCAUUCCGACACCUGAAAAGUGGAGAAUAAAAUCCGACUGCUAUCUGCUAGAGAUUUUAGUUCGGUAGAGCUUUCGGUGACAAAAAAUGGCUCAAACUGGGAAGUUAAGAUAUCUUUCUGUUUAUUAAGUAAAACCGAGCCUUACUGUCGAAUUUG